GAUGAACGCUAGCGGCAGGCCUAACACAUGCAAGUCGAGGGGCAUCAUGGCGUAGCAAUACGCUGAUGGCGACCGGCGCACGGGUGCGUAACGCGUAUGGAACCUACCCACCGCAGGGGGAUAACCCGCCGAAAGGCGGACUAAUACCCCAUGGUUCCCCGACCCUGCCUGGGGUUGGGGGUAAAGCCUACGGGCGGCGGUGGAUGGCCCUGCGUGCCAUUAGCUGGCUGGUGGGUAACGGCCCACCAGGGCGACGAUGGCUAGGGGGUCUGAGAGGACGAUCCCCCACACUGGUACUGAGACACGGACCAGACUCCUACGGGAGGCAGCAGUGAGGAAUAUUGGUCAAUGGGCGCAAGCCUGAACCAGCCAUCCCGCGUGAAGGAAGAAUGCGCUACGCGUUGUAAACUUCUUUUCCAGGGGGAGAAUAAUCCUGUCGUGACAGGACUUGACGGUACUCUGGGAAUAAGCAUCGGCUAACUCCGUG
rnacentral:rRNA from 1 species